UACAUUUCCUGUUUAGUAAAGAGUC
rnacentral:piRNA from 1 species